rnacentral:rRNA from 1 species
AUUGAACGCUGGCGGCAGGCCUAACACAUGCAAGUCGAGCGGAUGACGGGAGCUUGCUCCUUGAUUCAGCGGCGGACGGGUGAGUAAUGCCUAGGAAUCUGCCUGGUAGUGGGGGACAACGUUUCGAGAGGAACGCUAAUACCGCAUACGUCCGACGGGCGAAAGCAGGGGACCUUCGGGACUUGCGCUAUCAGAUGAGCCUAGGUCGGAUUAGCUAGUUGGGGGGGUAAUGGCUACCCAAGGCGACGAUCCGUAACUGGUCUGAGAGGAUGAUCAGUCACACUGGAACUGAGACACGGUCCAGACUCCUACGGGAGGCAGCAGUGGGGAAUAUUGGACAAUGGGCGAAAGCCUGAUCCAGCCAUGCCGCGUGUGUGAAGAAGGUCUUCGGAUUGUAAAGCACUUUAAGUUGGGAGGAAGGGCAGUAAGUUAAUACCUUGCUGUUUUGACGUUACCGACAGAAUAAGCACCGGCUAACUCUGUGCCAGCCGCCGCUGUAAAAC